UACGGGGGGGGCAAGCGUUGUUCGGAAUUACUGGGCGUAAAGGGCGCGUAGGCGGCGGGGUAAGUCGGGUGUGAAAUCUCAGAGCUCAACUCUGAAACUGCACUCGAUACUGCUCUGCUUGAGGACUGGAGAGGAGACUGGAAUUCACGGUGUAGCAGUGAAAUGCGUAGAUAUCGUGAGGAAGACCAGUGGCGAAGGCGGGUCUCUGGACAGUUCCUGACGCUGAGGCGCGAAGGCCAGGGGAGCAAACGGG
rnacentral:rRNA from 1 species